rnacentral:rRNA from 1 species
AGAGUUUGAUCAUGGCUCAGGACGAACGCUGGCGGCGUGCUUAACACAUGCAAGUCGAACGGUGAUGAGGAGCUUGCUUCUCUGAUCAGUGGCGAACGGGUGAGUAACACGUGAGCAAUUUGCCCUUGACUCUGGGAUAACUGCGGGAAACUGUAGCUAAUACCGGAUACGACCUUGGAAGGCAUCUUCUUUGGUGGAAAGAAUUUUGGUCAAGGAUGAGCUCGCGGCCUAUCAGCUAGUUGGUGAGGUAAUGGCUCACCAAGGCGACGACGGGUAGCCGGCCUGAGAGGGUGACCGGCCACACUGGGACUGAGACACGGCCCAGACUCCUACGGGAGGCAGCAGUGGGGAAUAUUGCACAAUGGGCGCAAGCCUGAUGCAGCAACGCCGCGUGAGGGACGAAGGCCUUCGGGUUGUAAACCUCUUUUAGUAGGGAAGAAGCGACUGGGUUUUCCUGGAAGUGACGGUACCUGCAGAAAAAGCACCGGCUAACUACGUGCCAGCAGCCGCGGUAAUACGUAGGGUGCAAGCGUUGUCCGGAAUUAUUGGGCGUAAAGAGCUCGUAGGCGGUUUGUCGCGUCUGCUGUGAAAACCCGAGGCUCAACCUCGGGCCUGCAGUGGGUACGGGCAGACUAGAGUGCGGUAGGGGAGAUUGGAAUUCCUGGUGUAGCGGUGGAAUGCGCAGAUAUCAGGAGGAACACCAAUGGCGAAGGCAGAUCUCUGGGCCGUAACUGACGCUGAGGAGCGAAAGCAUGGGGAGCGAACAGGAUUAGAUACCCUGGUAGUCCAUGCCGUAAACGUUGGGAACUAGAUGUGGGGACCAUUCCACGGUCUCCGUGUCGCAGCUAACGCAUUAAGUUCCCCGCCUGGGGAGUACGGCCGCAAGGCUAAAACUCAAAGGAAUUGACGGGGGCCCGCACAAGCGGC